ACCUUCCUUCAUAUAAGCACUGUGUCAAAACUGCGGAAACUAGGAUCACAUCUUGGUUUUUGUAAUAAUGUUGGCAGAGUACACACACUGCACUAGAUUGUGAAGACUUGGGGGGGGGGGGCUCUCUCUUAAUGUCCUUCAUCUCAAGAUUUGAUGCAAUAUGU